CCGUGCUAGACGGGGAGCCAGCGGUGCCCUGUAAACCGCAAUCCGCUAUAGCGGUGUCGAAUACCGAUUGAGGUGCAAUCUAUGGAAGGUUGCGCUGUGCAAGGGAUGUUGAUAACAAGGUCUUGUGCAAUGCUAUGCUGUGAACCGUGUCAGAGCUUGACCGCAGCAGCACUAAGCAGAUUUUAGUGUGUGCCACAAGGAAGCUUUGAGGGAGUUACCUACACAGUUUCCGCUUCGGUAGAAUGUAUCGAUCGAGGUUGCACGG
rfam:Acidaminococcus sp. CAG:917 genomic scaffold, scf8